rnacentral:lncRNA from 1 species
CCUCCCAAGUAACUGGGACUACAGGUGCACAGCAACAUGCUUGGCUAAUUUUUAUUUUAUGUUUUUUUGUAGACACAGGGUUUUGCUACGUUGCCUAGGCUGGUUUCAAACUCUGGGCCUCAAGAAUCCUCCCACCGCAGCCUCCAGAAGCAUUGGGAUUAUAGGCAUGUUGUGUGCUUCCAGCUCAAGCCGGCUCUGUGUUUUAGGCCAACCAACACAAUUCAUAUAACAUCCUUGCACAUUUCCACCAUUUCCCGCCUCACCAUGCCUCAGAGGACUACAGGCUCCCCAAGACGGGACAUGGUUGGGCAGGUACCGGAUAGAUGCUGUCACUGCUGAAAAAGAAAAAAAUAUCCAAAGUAUUCACGUUGUACCUGCUGAGUGCCAGUACUGCAUGCUCUGGGGAUUCCAUUCCUGCCCCUAUGGAAGAGGGGUCAACUUUUCCAAAACAUCAUCUUCUAGAGGAAGAAGCUGAAGCCCAGCAAGGAAAAGUAACAUAACGAAGAUCUCAGCAGAAUGACGGUUAUCUGAGCAUCUAUAUUCUGGGGUUGCAAAAAGAACAAGAACGUAGGGUUCAAUGGACCUGAGUUCCAGGCCUCACUCUGUCACCAGCUGACUGUAAGAAGCCCACCCACCUCCACCUUCUCUAGAUCACAUGUUUUAUGGCCGCCUCAAAGGCGUGAAGCAGGUGAGUCGUGCUGCCUCUGCCAACAUCUGCUUUGUGAGCCUGGGAGUAUUUCACGGAGAUGUUUCUCUCGACAGGUUUAUGGCUGGUCUUGGCUCAGUGCCUUGAAAACACUGAUCAUGUGAUGAAACGAGAAUGUCAUGCUGCGGGCCAUCAAUAAACCACACUGGCAUUCCCGCUCCCACCCCGACACCACUCCACCCAUGCAAUUUCCCUCCCCUUCAGCCUCCUCCCUCCCCACCUCCCAAAGAUAUCCAGACCAGGCCAACUCAUUAGGAAGUGACAUCCACCAGGAUUCUUGGCCCCAGUCAAAAGAGUGGCCAGAGCUUGUCUGCUGCUUGCGGAUACUUUUCUGUUUUGUGUUAAACGUUUGAGUUUGGAAAUGAGCAAGAGCUAUGUCUAAGGGAAACCAGACAGCUUGUUUGAAAAUCCACUAAAUGGCCAUCGGAGGAUCAUGCCAGAUCUUAGAACAAAGUCUCAGUUAUUGCCUGAAAGCAUAAACUUUCAGGCAAGGCAUCUUCUCCAUGCUCCUCAGCAUCUGCAGAGUAGCAGAGACUUGAAAGAGAUGUGUCCUCUGGAUCCCACGUCAGAUGAUACAUCUUGGGAUUUCCCUACCUGGGGGAAGAGUGGGUUUUCCUGAGGAAAUUGCAAGUGGGCCUGAGUUUCUAGAGUGUGAGGUGAAAUGGAUGCCACUGUACUGAAUUCUGACCAAAACUCUGGAGAGAUGCUGCGAAGGAACUCAGCUUCCACUGAAAGGGUCAGUGAAGGCUUCAAGGACAGUAUCACAGCACUUUCCUAUCACUUCUAUAAAAAUCACAUCCACUUUUUCCCACCAACUUGCCCAUUCUCCUUGUCUGGGACACAGGCCCUGGUACUUUACAUUCAGGUCAUUUCCAAGGGAUAGAGAGAAAUAGACAGAGGCUGAAAGAGUGAUGGGGCCGGGAGACGCUGAGAUCAUUCAACUACCAAUGCCAUUCUGAACUAAGACUUUUUUUUUUUUUUUUUUUUUUUUUUUUUUUGAGAUGGAGUCUCGCUCUGUCACCCAGGCUGGAGUGCAGUGGCAUGAUCUUGGCUCACUGCAAGCUCUCCCUCCUGGGUUCACACCAUUCUCCUGCCUCAGCCUCCCAAGUAGCUGGGACUACAGGCACCUGCCACCAAAGACUUUCUUAAACCACACUCUCUCCCUGCCAAGAAAAUGGGUAUCAUGUCCUUCAUAACCCAUCCUGAAAAAAUGAAACCGACAUGAUGGCAGAGUGGUAUGAAAAAGACUCUGAAUUUGGAAUUGAGGGACAAGAGCUCAACUGCCAACUCUCUUUAUUCCCCCUGGGACAUUGGGCAACUUAAUCUACUUCUCAGUGAGUUGAUCUGUCACUUGGGUCUAAUAAUACAACUUCUUACGACUACUUUUUAAAGCAAAUAAAAAGAUAUAUUUGAGAGAAUGCUUUAUUAAUUGCAAAACACUGCCCAAAUUUCAGUCAUUAUUAUUUCCUGUCUGUC